rnacentral:lncRNA from 1 species
AGAAGUUCCCUAGUGGGGCAGCGGAUUUAGGAUCCAGCGUUGCUGCAACUGCAGCUUGGCUCAGGUUUGGUCCCUGGCCCAGAAACUUCCACAUGCCAUGGGUGUGGCCAAAAAACCCCCAAAAACAAAACAGAGGAAAACUACCACAUAGCUAUUCAGGGCUUUGGUUUUUGAUGUUGCUCUGUGUGUGUGUAUGGGUGUUAUUUGUUAAGGAAGAAGUGCUGCAAAUUCACUGCAUAGUUAAUGUGAUUCUCAGGCAUUUCUUCUUCCUUCGUGUUACAGUGAACUGCUCCAACCUGAGGAUGAUUUGCUGUGAUAUUACUGCUACUGCUAUAGGCUGUUCUGCCCUGGACAUCUCAUGUACCAAAAAAGAGGCUGCCAGAAAUGGAGAGCAGCUCGACUAAUCCAGCCUCGGCGAGUGCUUCCUGUUUGAAAAUGAGGCGAAAGCUUAUCCGACUAUUCCUCUUGCUGUGAAAAUUUCAUCUGUUUUUAUAGAUGCGUUUUCCCAACGGGUGAUCUAGAACCUAUGAGUUAGCCAAAUGUUUCCUUUUCAUCAUUAUCUAAAGCACAGCCGAGUCUUGAAAAGACAAUUGUAUAGCUUCUUGUGUUGCUUCAUGGGCUUUAAGUGCCCACAAAGAGGAUUCCUUAUGCUUUAAUUUCUCUUUAUUUUUCUGACUGUAAAGACCCUUGGGGUAAAUGCCAGCCCCACAAUCCCGCCGUUAUAUGGUUACUGUCAGCCUGCUCCAAUGAUGCUUCCUGUUCACUAGGGCUCCUUUCAUGUGACCACAAUGUCCUGGCUUUGCUGCAAUUCUUCGUCAACGCCCAUCUCUUCAAUAGCCUGUGAAUAGUAUUAAAUGGUGUUU